rnacentral:rRNA from 1 species
UCGACCGCUGGCGGCGUGCCUAAUACAUGCAAGUCGAGCGAGGGUUUUCGGACCCUAGCGGCGGACGGGUGAGUAACACGUAGGCAACCUGCCUGUAAGACUGGGAUAACAUAGGGAAACUUAUGCUAAUACCGGAUAGGGUUUUGCUUCGCAUGAAGCGAAACGGAAAGAUGGCGCAAGCUAUCACUUGCAGAUGGGCCUGCGGCGCAUUAGCUAGUUGGUGAGGUAAAGGCUCACCAAGGCGACGAUGCGUAGCCGACCUGAGAGGGUGACCGGCCACACUGGGACUGAGACACGGCCCAGACUCCUACGGGAGGCAGCAGUAGGGAAUUUUCCACAAUGGACGAAAGUCUGAUGGAGCAACGCCGCGUGAACGAUGAAGGCUUUCGGGUCGUAAAGUUCUGUUGUUAGGGAAGAAACAGUGCCAUUUAAAUAAGAUGGCGCCUUGACGGUACCUAACGAGAAAGCCACGGCUAACUACGUGCCAGCAGCCGCGGUAAUAA